AUUUUCAGCUGUAAAUUGUUUUCAAAUUUUUUGUAAUAAGAAUGAAGUUUGUCCGUUAGUUUUUUUCCACAUCUGAAUUAAUCAGUGUUGGCCGCGUACUCGUUGUCAUAUAUAAAUUUUAGUACUCCUUAUGAUGACAAUAGAGCAGUUUACUCAAGGAAUUGAGACGCAUGGAUUCACUUAUUUCACACGUUGGAAAGUAUCAACAUCCUACAUUAAUGGACUGGAGGAGGUCGAGAAUAUUGCAGGUUUUAUGCAGUCUACGUAUAAUAGUUACUCAAAGUAAUUAAAAUUCAAUUGAUAGAAGUGCAUCAAAAAGAUGGUGUCAUGAAACCCUGACCAUUACAUAAAAAGGCAGUAUGGCAGAUCACUCAAGUCACGCUGAUACAUGAAUUCACAUUUCUCACGCGUGGGAUAGUAUCAACAGCCUACGUUGCAAAUGGACUAGAAGAUGCUGAGAAUAAUACGUGUUAUAUGCAAUAUACAUAAGGCAGUAUGGCAGAUCACUCAAGUCACGCUGAUACAUGAAUUCACAUUUCUCACGCGUGGGAUAGUAUCAACAGCCUACGUUGCAAAUGGACUAGAAGAUGCUGAGAAUAAUACGUGUUAUAUGCAAUAUACAUGUAAUGGUUAUUGAAAAUGGCAGUACGGCAGAUCACUCAAGUCACGCUGAUACAUGAAUUCACAUUUCUCACGCGUGGGAUAGUAUCAACAGCCUACGUUGCAAAUGGACUAGAAGAUGCUGAGAAUAAUACGUGUUAUAUGCAAUAAGGCAGUAUGGCAGAUCACUCAAGUCACGCUGAUACAUGAAUUCACAUUUCUCACGCGUGGGAUAGUAUCAACAGCCUACGUUGCAAAUGGACUAGAAGAUGCUGAGAAUAAUACGUGUUAUAUGCAAUAUACAUGUAAUGGUUAUUGAAAAUGGCAGUACGGCAGAUCACUCAAGUCACGCUGAUACAUGAAUUCACAUUUCUCACGCGUGGGAUAGUAUCAACAGCCUACGUUGCAAAUGGACUAGAAGAUGCUGAGAAUAAUACGUGUUAUAUGCAAUAUGGCAGUACGGCAGUUCACUUAAGGAAUUCUGACGCAUGGAUUCACUUAUCUCACACGUGGGAAAGUAUCAACAUCCUAUGUUGCAAAUGGACUUGAAGAUGCUGAGAAUAAUACGUGUUAUAUGCAAUAAGGCAGUACGGCAGAUCACUCAAGUCACGCUGAUACAUGAAUUCACAUUUCUCACGCGUGGGAUAGUAUCAACAGCCUACGUUGCAAAUGGACUAGAAGAUGCUGAGAAUAAUACGUGUUAUAUGCAAUAUGGCAGUACGGCAGUUCACUUAAGGAAUUCUGACGCAUGGAUUCACUUAUCUCACACGUGGGAAAGUAUCAACAUCCUAUGUUGCAAAUGGACUUGAAGAUGCUGAGAAUAAUACGUGUUAUAUGCAAUAAGGCAGUACGGCAGAUCACUCAAGUCACGCUGAUACAUGAAUUCACAUUUCUCACGCGUGGGAUAGUAUCAACAGCUUACGUUGCAAAUGGAC